AUUGAACGCUGGCGGCAUGCUUUACACAUGCAAGUCGAACGGGCUUGGGGGCUUGCUCCCAAGUUAGUGGCGAACGGGUGAGUAAUACAUCGGAACGUACCGUGUAGUGGGGGAUAACGUAGCGAAAGUUACGCUAAUACCGCAUACGAUCUACGGAUGAAAGCAGGGGACCUUCGGGCCUUGUGCUAUACGAGCGGCCGAUGUCUGAUUAGCUAGUUGGUGAGGUAAAGGCUCACCAAGGCGACGAUCAGUAGCGGGUCUGAGAGGAUGAUCCGCCACACUGGGACUGAGACACGGCCCAGACUCCUACGGGAGGCAGCAGUGGGGAAUUUUGGACAAUGGGGGCAACCCUGAUCCAGCCAUGCCGCGUGAGUGAAGAAGGCCUUCGGGUUGUAAAGCUCUUUCGGCCGGGAAGAAAUCGCACGGGCUAAUACCCUGUGUGGAUGACGGUACCGGAAUAAGAAGCACCGGCUAACUACGUGCCAGCCGCCGCAGUAACAC
rnacentral:rRNA from 1 species